rnacentral:rRNA from 1 species
AGUGAACGCUGGCGGUAGGCCUAACACAUGCAAGUCGAACGGCAGCACAGUAAGAGCUUGCUCUUACGGGUGGCGAGUGGCGGACGGGUGAGGAAUACAUCGGAAUCUACUUUUUCGUGGGGGAUAACGUAGGGAAACUUACGCUAAUACCGCAUACGACCUACGGGUGAAAGCAGGGGAUCUUCGGACCUUGCGCGAUUGAAUGAGCCGAUGUCGGAUUAGCUAGUUGGCGGGGUAAAGGCCCACCAAGGCGACGAUCCGUAGCUGGUCUGAGAGGAUGAUCAGCCACACUGGAACUGAGGCACGGUCCAGACUCCUACAGGAGGCAGCAGUGGGGAAUAUUGGACAAUGGGCGCAAGCCUGAUCCAGCCAUACCGCGUGGGUGAAGAAGGCCUUCGGGUUGUAAAGCCCUUUUGUUGGGAAAGAAAAGCAGCAGGUUAAUACCCCGCUGUUCUGACGGUACCCAAAGAAUAAGCACCGGCUAACUUCGUG